GGGCAGCAUGGUCUUAGCUUGCUAAGGCCGAUGGCGACCGGCGCACGGGUGAGUAACACGUAUCCAACCUGCCGUCUACUCUUGGACAGCCUUCUGAAAGGAAGAUUAAUACAAGAUGGCAUCAUGAGUCCGCAUGUUCACGUGAUUAAAGGUAUUCCGGUAGACGAUGGGGAUGCGUUCCAUUAGAUAGUAGGCGGGGUAACGGCCCACCUAGUCUUCGAUGGAUAGGGGUUCUGAGAGGAAGGUCCCCCACAUUGGAACUGAGACACGGUCCAAACUCCUACGGGAGGCAGCAGUGAGGAAUAUUGGUCAAUGGGCGAGAGCCUGAACCAGCCAAGUAGCGUGAAGGAUGACUGCCCUAUGGGUUGUAAACUUCUUUUAUAAAGGAAUAAAGUCGGGUAUGGAUACCCGUUUGCAUGUACUUUAUGAAUAAGGAUCGGCUAACUCCGUGCCAGCAGCCGCGGUAAUACGGAGGAUCCGAGCGUUAUCCGGAUUUAUUGGGUUUAAAGGGAGCGUAGAUGGAUGUUUAAGUCAGUUGUGAAAGUUUGCGGCUCAACCGUAAAAUUGCAGUUGAUACUGGAUAUCUUGAGUGCAGUUGAGGCAGGCGGAAUUCGUGGUGUAGCGGUGAAAUGCUUAGAUAUCACGAAGAACUCCGAUUGCGA
rnacentral:rRNA from 1 species